UACGGAGGGUGCAAGCGUUAAUCGGAAUUACUGGGCGUAAAGCGUGCGCAGGCGGUUUGUUAAGUCUGCUGUGAAAUCCCCGAGCUCAACUUGGGAAUUGCAGUGGAUACUGGCAGGCUGAAGUAUGGUAGAGGAAGGUGGAAUUCCCGGUGUAGCAGUGAAAUGCGUAGAGAUCGGGAGGAACACCAGUGGCGAAGGCGGCCUUCUGGACCAAUACUGACGCUCAUGCACGAAAGCGUGGGAGCAAACAGG
rnacentral:rRNA from 1 species